UACGGGGGGGGCAAGCGUUGUUCGGAAUUACUGGGCGUAAAGGGCACGUAGGUGGCUAUUUAAGUUGGAUGUAAAAUCCCCGAGCUUAACUUGGGAAGGACAUCUGAAACUGGAUAGCUUGAGUACAGUAGAGGGAAGCGGAAUUUCCGGUGUAGCGGUGAAAUGCGUAGAUAUCGGAAAGAACACCAGUGGCGAAGGCGGCUUUCUGGACUGAUACUGACACUGAGGUGCGAAAGCGUGGGGAGCGAACAGG
rnacentral:rRNA from 1 species